UGGCUCCAUGGUCAAGCGGUUAAGACAUCGCCCUUUCACGGCGGUAACCCGGGUUCGAUUCCCGGUGGAGUCAUC
rnacentral:tRNA from 1 species